AAGGGCUGGUGCCUUCUUGCUGUGUCCUCACAUGGCCGGAGGAGCAAAAGGCUAACCAGCUCCCUCGAGCCUCUUCACAAGGGCGCUAACUCCGUCCAGGAGGCCCCACCCUUGUGAUUAAAACCGUCCCUAAGCACCCCCCUUAGUACUCUCACACGGGCAACCAAGUUUCAGUGCAGAUUCUGUAGGAGACACAACAUCCCAUCCAGAGCAGUAAGAGACGGCCAGACGGUUUUCACAGUGGCUGAGCCGUGACACUGGGACCAGCUGUGACGGGAGGUGAUUCUGUCAGCCUAUACUUGCUAUUUUCAAUCUCAAGUGGUGCCCCUCCUGCUGGGUAUAAAGGGUAACUGGAGGGUUUCCGUUUCCUGUCUCUUGAGGGUUGCUAACGUCUUUUCAAGUGCGAGUCGGCUGUUUGGAUGCAUCUUCUCUUUGAAAGCUCAGUGUGCACCUCCAGUCAACAGGGAGGAUCUGGGGCUGGAAGAGCAGAUCUUCGUCCUUCCUGUCCCUUCUGAUGGCUGGCUGGAAAGACGUCCACCCAGGGACCCUGGUUCGGCUGUGAUUUUCUCCAUUUUUCUCAGCAGGAAGCUCGGGAGGCGCCCUGACCCGCCGGCUGCACUCGUGGGUGAGUGCGGAGUGCGGCAUCCCGGAGCCGGGGCCUCCAACAAGGUGGCACUGCCUGGCCCCGCAGGCCACGUGACAGGCAUGCUCUCUGUCUGGAUCCCUGUGUCCCUGUCCAGUCUGUGUCGUGACUCACAAGGCAGCCAUCAGAGUACCCCAAAACGUCCUCCCUACGGUGUCAGGGACAGCGAUGAGCAAGACCCAAAUAAAAUGUGCAGCACAUUCCCUCACGUCUGGACAGUGACAGAAAAUCAAGCUACAAUUGCUUUCGUGCCUUCUGAGAGCUGGGUCUCUGCCCGAAGGCGGGGAUGUAAAUAAGGCUGAUGUUUACCUCUCUGUUGCGAAUCGAUCUGAGCCUACAGGAGCAGUGCUGUCUGCAGAUGGCUGCUCUAGCUCCUGCCAUUGCAUCUGCCUUUCAGCUGAGGCAAGAAAAGGAAGGGGAGGUACCUACCUUUCUUUUUGAAGGCAUUAACCGGAAAUUGUAGGACUCGUUUCUGCUCUCAUUCCAUUGGUCAGAAUCCAGUCAUGUGACCCCGUCUAUGUGCGUGGCAAGCACCUAUCUAAAUAGCUGUGUCUUUUAUUCCUGCAGAAGAUAGGGGCGGGGGACACUGGGGACACAACCGCAGAGUCUUCCUCAGUGACUAGUGGCCAGGCGCUGUUUCAGGUGGUGAGGUAGAACAAUGGACAGGAAGCCUGAGGCCGGCAAGAUGGCUUGGAUCAAUGUUCCGCCCCAGUCCAGGUCGGAAAAGUCUGGCCCCGCCCGUGUGGGGUGCCUGGCUUCUGACACGUGAGAAGAAAAGACUUUCCGCGAACCGCCUGCUGCUCUCUCCUUCCGUCUCACUGGUCACCUGGGUCACAGGGCUUCCCUCGCUGCAAGGGAGCCUGGGACAUCGGGAGCAGGGUCUCAGGAUUGGCUUGGAGCAGGGCACGGAGCCUCUUCCCGGGCAGCAGGGUUCUGUUGAGGCACAGAAGUGGGGUGUCCCCAGCUCUUGCUCGGCAGUGGCUUCUGUGCCGGUGAAGUGAAGUGUGUGUUGGUGGGUGCCCGCGGGAGUCACCCAUCCUCCGUGUUGUUGGCCAUUAACUUCAGGGUCCCCUCCACCUGCAGUGUGACUUGGAAAAAGAGAAAAUAAUUUUGCAACGAGCUUCACCUGUUUGCCGCGGGCGGCUUGUCCCUCCCUGUGUGGCUGGUUUGCAAGUGUCUGGGCAGUGGCACAGCUGUGCCUGGCUUCUCUAUGUGACAAGCCACUUGGAAAAACACCUCCACAUCUCUGGUCUCUUUUCUGCCAUUCGUGAUGGGAGUCAUCGAUUGUGCACUGGAGAGUUUUAUUUUGAGCUUGUUCUAUCUAGUAAACUCCAAUGGUUUCCCCCAGGGACGCCUCGAUGUGUUUUGGGGGGAAAAUGUGAAAACUUCACGGGGUCCUUUCCCAGCCAGCACCAGGCAGCUGACAGAGGAGCCCACACGGGUCACAGGUGAUGCAGCUCUGGUGUUGGGUGUUUAUGGCUGUGCUUUCUGUGUUUCACAAAAUCAUACAUUUCUGAGCCAACACAUUCCACAGGCAUAUCAAAUCCUAUUUCACUAGGUUACGACUGAGUAUAUUUUGGAUUAUACAAUUUUUGUUGAAAUUUUGACUCUUACAUUGAUAUUUCAACAAUUCCAUUUUGCCUUAUAUGUUAUGUUUACUUUUCUUAUUUGGAGCUAUCGUACAACUGCAAACACUUAUUGAGAUCUUGCCACGUGCCAGAUGUUGGCAGUUUUGAUUAUUAUUUAUUUUUUGUGGUGCUGGGGAUUGAACCCAGGGCCAUGCACACACUGGGUAAGUUCGACUCUGAGCUAACUCUAACCCACACAGAGGCAGUUUUUAAAACAUGUCCCAUUUUUAAAAAAUACUUCUGUUGUGGGACGGGGUCUAUGUUCCUUCCUCUCCAAUCUGGGCUGGCCCAGGCUUGGUGGCCCUGGGAAGCUCAAGCAGCAGAUCACAAGUUGGAGUCCAGCCUCAAUGAUUUAGGGAGAUCCUGUCUCAAAAUAAAAUAAAGAACGGGCUGCGGGUGUA